rnacentral:misc_RNA from 1 species
ACAGAAGUUCUUUGGACGUCUGAAAGCAUAAUUAUGCAAAUUAACAUAAGAUUUUGAGUCAUAGUGAAAUUGGUUGAUUUUGAUUUUUGUGGCUAGCAGAUUUUUGCUUUAGACAUCUGAUACUGAAUUUUGAAUAUUUGAAGCGUUGAAGAGUUGUGAACUGUUUUGAAUGUUUUGUUUCAGUGGAAUUACCUGUGAUUUCCUGUUCAGCAUGUUGUUAUAUGAAAAUGUGCUCUCAACCUUCGCACUAUUGGUUGCGCAGUUUUUG